UCGCGGCUUAUCACCGGCAGUCCCCGUAGAGUGCCCAACUAAAUGUAGCAACUAGUAGCGAGGGUUGCGCUCGUUGCGGGACUUAACCCAACAUCUCACGACACGAGCUGACGACAGCCAUGCAGCACCUGUGUUCCAGCCAGCCGAACUGAAGACCCAAAUCUCUCUAGGUCAAACUGGACAUGUCAAACGUGGGUAAGGUUCUUCGCGUUGCUUCGAAUUAAACCACAUGAUCCACCGCUUGUGCGGGCCCCCGUCAAUUUCUUUGAGUUUUAACCUUGCGGCCGUACUCCCCAGGCGGAGAGCUUAAUGCGUUAGCUGCGUCACCAAUAGGCAUGCCUACUGACAACUAGCUCUCAUCGUUUACGGCGUGGACUAC
rnacentral:misc_RNA from 1 species